rnacentral:rRNA from 1 species
GGGUGACUGCGUACCUUUUGUAUAAUGGGUCAGCGACUUAUAUUUUGUAGCGAGGUUAACCGAAUAGGGGAGCCGAAGGGAAACCGAGUCUUAACUGGGCGAAGAGUUGCAAGGUAUAGACCCGAAACCCGGUGAUCUAGCCAUGGGCAGGUUGAAGGUUGGGUAACACUAACUGGAGGACCGAACCGACUAAUGUUGAAAAAUUAGCGGAUGACUUGUGGCUGGGGGUGAAAGGCCAAUCAAACCGGGAGAUAGCUGGUUCUCCCCGAAAUCUAUUUAGGUAGAGCCUUGAGGUGACACCUUUGGGGGUAGAGCACUGUUUCGGCUAGGGGGCCAUCCCGGCUUACCAACCCGAUGCAAACUACGAAUACCAAAGAGUGAUACUCAGGAGACACACGGCGGGUGCUAACGUCCGUCGUGGAGAGGGAAACAACCCAGACCGCCAGCUAAGGUCCCCAAGUCUAUAUUAAGUGGGAAACGAAGUGGGAAGGCUUAGACAGCUAGGAUGUUGGCUUAGAAGCAGCCAUCAUUUAAAGAAAGCGUAAUAGCUCACUAGUCGAGUCGGCCUGCGCGGAAGAUGUAACGGGGCUGAAAUAUAGCACCGAAGCUGCGGCAUCAGGCGUA